AAUUUUUUUCGUGCAUAUUGAUGGGGCUUUUUUUAUUUAUUUACUCCUUUUCUGCGUUCCUCCCUUUUGUGUUGGUAAUGUGAACAUGAAAUGAUGAGCACUUUCAUGUUAAUGAAUAACUUUUUUUUUUAUAGAUUUUGGCAUAUUGCAUAUUGCCAAGGGAGAUGUUUACUGAGGAUUCCAUGCCAUUAAUGUGCAGGCUGUUGCUGACGCCAGCAUGAGCAAUAUCUGAGCACCAAUGAUGAGGGUCAUUUGCUGGGAGAUAGUGGGUAUCCGUUAAGGACUAACCUGAUGACCCCUUAACCUCAUCCCUCCCAUGCUGCGGAACAGGCCUACAAUGACCAUCUAUGUAGAGGAUAUCUGCAUGCCACUGGUGGAUGUUGGCCUUUCAAGUCCAAUAAGUGCUGUGAAAUAUCAACUGUGUACAUGCCCCUGCAUAACCUGUGUCUGGAUUCAAACGUUACACUGAUAGAGGAAUUGGUUGGAAACGUGAUGGAACCGGAAGUUAUGAGCAACACACCAGUACAUCGAGCAGCAUGUGAUAAGAGGCAGCAGCUGAUCAAACUGUUUCAUAAAAUAUGUUAAAAAUUUAUAGUUAUAAAUGUUAUAAAGUGA